CCCCUGCCCGGCGCCGGGCUGCUGGGCUCGUUCCGCGUGUAACGGGCUCAGGCCCAGUAAGGGCUGGGCGGAGGCAUUUCUUCUGCCUACUUUCCCGAGGGCGACACUCGGUUGGGCCACCUGAAUCCCCAGAGUCCCCGCAGGUUGCUAGGCAACCCCGGAAGCCCCCAGGGACGUAGUAGGGCGAGGACCUAAGGUGGCGAAAGCGGAUGCAGCGGGUGUCAAAACUGGCUUUCAGCUCCACCUCCACCUCCACAUUUACAGGUUCCUGGGUUCCUCUGACUGCAAGUUGGGAAGAAAGAUAAUAGCGUAAAGGAAAAAAAUGUUGCGUGCCAUUCCAGUUCUACAAGGAUCAAGCCAUUAGCCACUGCAAUUGACCACCAACAGUGUGCCCCGAGGGGAAUUCAGGAUGGAGGAAAACAGGAAACUUUCUGUACUUCGGAUAUACUGAUCCUUAGAUAGAAAGAAACAUUUGAGGUAUACACAAGAAACUAAUGAAAGAGAACAGAGAAUAGUAUACACAAAAGUACCCAUACAGAAAAGCAUACAGCUCAAUAAAUUUUUGGAAAUUGAACACCCCCAUAUAACCAGCACCCAGAUCAAGAAACAGAACAUUACCAACACCCUAGGAGACCCGCCUGUGCUCCCUUCCAAGCACCACCCUCUUCCUAAAAGCCCUGAAUGGGGACGUACCGUCUCAGCAGUCAUCCUCAAUCAUGGACAGAAGUGGGAGAGAAUUUAGAAAGGCUGCCCUAACACCGUGGGCCACUGAACCAACACCAGCAGCUGCUUACUUCCAGAUAUCCUGUUAUGUGCAGAGAACUCCUAUUUGUUUAAGCCACUCGAAGACAGUUACUUGCAAUCCAAAGCAUUCUCACGUGAUACAGAGGUCCAGCAAGAUGUGGACUCAGAUGUGAACUGGAUUUAUCAGUGUGAGGUCACUGGGGGUUCAGAGAGCAGUUUACGUGGAGUGCUGGGCAGCAGCCAACGUACAGUGGGUGGUGAGUGGCUGGUGGGAAAGACUGGGUACGGCAAGUAUGGGCAAGCCUCUCAUGCUUGGCUGUGAGGGAAAGGAAAGUAGUUAGAGGGGGACACAGGAUCCAGAAGUGUUGUCUUUAAGGUGGAAGGCCUUGUGCAUGUUUAAAUCCUUUUGGGAAGGAGCCAGCAAAAAUGACACUGUAAAGAGCAGAAUGGACAAAACUGAAAGAACAAGGUUAUUGAGGAGGCAGGAGAGAAUGGAUACAAAGCCCAGAUGGGUGUUAGCCUGAAAUGUGGGAGGCAUGGCUAUUUUCUGAGAGAGCCGUGAUUGGGGGAAGGGCAGGUAGAUUGAGUGGGUCAGAGUUUGAAAUCAUCAUUGUGUAUCUGGGAAAGCAAGCUGCCUAAAGGAGAUAGAAGACUUCCUGGCCUGAGUUGAAGGCUCAGUUGAAAUUGGAGAUUGUUCAUUUAGAGUGGUACGGUCUGCAUAAUUAUUUGAUUAUAUACAAUGGUUAAUGUACAUUUCAUGAAUUUUAAUUUAAAAAGCUUUUGCAUCUAAGUUACACAUGGAUGUGGCUAGAAAAAAGUAGAACAGAAAGUUGUCUAAUAAAAUACCAAGUUCCUCUCUCUCAAUCACCAACUCUUCCCCAUCUCGCUAGCUGCUGUUUAUGACCACACUAGGGUUGGGUGGGGGAUGGACUGGAGAGUAAGGGGGAUAAGGAAGUUGUUACGGCUCUGCUCUCCCCACUCCAUCUGACUGAGUGCCUUUGUGUGGCUCCCCUGCUGAACCCCUCACUGCAGUCCCCCUGACAUGGGUAGCACCUCUCUUUUGGAAGGCUCGUGGUCCUCUCUCAAUGUCUGGUUUUCCCCAGCUGUCCAAGAGAUACUCUUCUGGGCAGAAUCCCUUUAAAAAUGAUCCCAAGCUGGUUCAACGGCUCAUGACUUGGGUUAGGUUUGAGAGGAGACCAGGGUAGAGUCCCCACUUUCCCUUGGCUGUUUUUGUUUGUUUUUUUUUUUGCGGUACGCGGGCCUCUCACUGUUGUGGCCUCUCCCGUUGCGGAGCACAGGCUCCGGAUGCGCAGGCUCAGCGGCCAUGGCUCACGGGCCCAGCCGCUCCGCGGCAUGUGGGAUCUUCCCAGAGCGGGGCACAAACCUGUGUCCCCUGCAUCGGCAGGCGGACUCUCAACCACUGCGCCACCAGGGGAGCCCUCCCUUGGGUGUUUUCCAGGAGGUGGCAAGCCCCGUGGGGCCCAGUAUGGAACCUGAACAAUGGAGAAGCAAUUCUGAGAGUGAUGUCUAGGAAGAUGGGCCUGAGAGCAUCCUCAAUCCCUCAAGCCCUCAAACCCCAGCAUGGUUCAGCCAAAGGAGGCAAGACUUCCAAAGCCCUCCAAGAGGGCUAGGUGUGAGAGCAAAGCACACCAGAUGAGACCUGGGAUGAGGAAAAUGCAAAGUAGAUCUACCUGACAGAGACAGGCCAUGGCAGAACUUUGGACAUUAGUGGCACAUGCAGAAAGCACAGGGGUGUCCUGUCCUGGGCGUAUUUGCCUCCAGAGCCAUUCCUCACUCUUCCCCUCUUGUGUUCUGCAUCACAAGCAGGCUGACCCCAGUGGGUUGCAUUUCCUAGCCUUCCCUGUCAGCUGGCUUCCUGCUGGCUCAGCUAAUAGAGAGUACCAGCAAGGGAUCAGAGGAUGGAAGGAAGAAGCUGCCUCUACUGGGAAGGGAGACCCAGUGAGUUUUAGGAAUGCCAGGUACUCAGAUUGAAAUCCACCUAGAUUCCCCCAUCCUAAUUCCCAAGGUCCCAUAUGUUCUUCAUCAAUGCCAUAACUUUCUCGUAAGAGACAGGAUUCGUUUUGUAAACAAAAAGAACAAAGGGUGUCACUCAUCCCCUUAUACAAAGGGUUAAGUCAUAACCCACUAUAGUUGUCCACCAGUGGUGCACCCUGAGCAGAAUUCCCGACGGGAAAAACGUGAUGAGACAUUCUGUGCUUUGGAUACACGGGACCCUAGAUAAUUAAGACGCACAUUUGAGGAAGAAUUUCAGUGAUCCCCGAUUCUUGUAUCUUCCCAGACAUAGAUAUCUAUUCUUUGUCAUUAGCAGUAAUCUUUUACAAAGAUGUAUGCUUGACUAUAGGUAUUUCCCGGCUGAAAAAUUAAUAUAUAUAUAUAUAUACCGGCUCUGCAAGGCUCCGGACGUGCAGGCUCAGUGGCCAUGGCUCACGGGCCCAGCCGCUCCGCGGCAUGUGGGAUCUUCCCGGACCUGGGCAUGAACCUGUGUCCCCUGCAUCGGUAGGCGGACUCUCAACCACUGCGCCACCAGGGAAGCCCAUUGUGCAUUUUUUAAGUUGACAGUUUGUAAAUUCAUCUUACGUUAUAAUAUACCACAGUAUCAGACGCUGCGUCUGGAUUUUAGCUGCUAGUGUUCAGGAGCUCUAAGACAAAAGAGAUCUUUUAGGACAUUUUUAGAGGCUCUGACUCGCUUGAGGCAAGAUUUUUAAAUUCUGGGUUGGUGACUUUUUAAAUUAAUUUUUAAAAAAUUCUCCAUUCAUUCAUAAUGACCCAUCACUGUUCCUACAGAGCAUGAGUACUAGAGGGUAUGUGCAGAUAUUCCAAGGGUGCUCAGGCACGGGUAGUUUUAGAGAUUACUUUCCAGCCUGUCCAUUUUUCUAUGCACUCCAUUAACACUGACCUGCCUGAUAAGGACCUGCCUUAGAACAUCACACCAUUUGUCCCUUUCACAGUCAUGUUCCCUCCCCCUUUUAAACAAUGAAAUGCCACCCUGAAUCUUACUAAGAUGCAUUGUCCCAGGGUAUAAGAACCUCAGGAUAACCACAAAGGGGGCAAUUCAAAAUACUGAUGUCAGUAAAAUCUGCUUAAUCUGGGCAGUGGGGUAGGGUUUUGUAUUUCUCCGUCUCUUAUUCAUACUUCUGAUAAGGGCAAAACAUGGUGCUAAAAGUUUGGAAUUCUGGCUUCUCUUGGGAUGUUCUUUUCCAGCUAUACUAUAAACUGGGGUGCUGGGAAUGAUACCCAUCUGUAUUUAAUGAUCCCACUUCUUCCAUCCCUGACUAUUAUCAAAGAACACUUUAACUCCUGAUGAAAAUUCCCACAACUGUUGGUUUCUUAAACUUCUAAGUAUAUAUACCUCCCUUCUAACAAGUCAAAUGCAUUAGCAUUUUUUAAUACCCCUUUUGUCUCCCUCUCCUCCCCCAUCAUGUUGUUCUUGUUUGGAAUUUUUUUUUUAAUAAAUUAAUUUUAUUUAUUUUUCUAUUUUUGGCUGCGUUGGGUCCUCGUUGCGGUGCACGGGCUUCUCAUUGCAGUGGCUUUUCUUAUUGCGGAGCACGGCGCGCAGGCUUCAGUAGUUGUGGCAGACAGGCCUAGCUGCUCCGCGGCAUGUGGGAUCUGCCCGGGCCAGGGCUCAAACCCGUGUCCCCUGCAUCAGUAGGCAGAUUAUUAACCACUGCGCCACCAGGGAAGCCCCUGGAAUUUUUGACAUUAGUUAUUUUGGAUAGACAUUCUCUUCUUUAGUCUUAGCUUUUUAAUUUUUUUAAACAGCAAUAAAUUUAUCAAAAUAUUUGAUCACCCUGACAUCUCAUAUCUCUUGAAGGUUCUCCUGGAUUUGUUUCUCUUACAUAAACACUUCUUUUAAAGGUAUUUUCAUUGUGGAUUUUUGUGUGUUAAACUUCUGAGGCCUUGUGUGCCUGAGAAUGUUCUUAUUACUUUCUCUCAUUGAAAUGAAAAUUUGGCUGUGUUGUACAUAAAACUUCAGGUUCGAGCUCUUUCCCUUCAGUAUCUAAAUAAAGAAAUAAAUACAUUAUCAUAAGAAAAGCGAUCUUACGAUCAUCUAAAAAGAUGGGGGAAAAAGGUGUUUGACAAAAGUCAAUACCUGUUCAUAAUAAAAAUGUUCUGCAAGCUAGAAACAGAAAAGUAGUCUCUCAGCCUGAUAAAGGGCAUCUAUUAAAAACCCACAGUUGGGACUUCCCUGGUGGUCCAGUGGUUAAGACUCCGUGUUCCCAAUGCAGGGGGCCCAGUUUCAAUCCCUGGUCAGGGAACUAGAUUCCGCAUGCCACAACUGAAAAGAUCCCGCAUGCCACGAGGAAGAUCUCACAUGCGGCAACAAAGAUCCUGAGUGCUACAACUAAGACCCAGCGCAGCCAAAUAAAUAAAUAAAUAUUAAAAAACAAAAACCCACAGUUAAUGUUCUUGUAGCAGAAGACCGAAUACUUUGCCCCUAACAUCAGGAACAAAGCAAGGAUGUCCGCCUUCAACACUUCUAUCGACCAUUUUAGUAGAGCUUUAAGCCACUGCAAAAAAAUAUAUAAAAGCCACACAGAUUGGAAAGGAAAAAGGAAAAUGGUCUUUACUCAUAGAUAACAUGAUCAUGCAAAUAGAAAAUCCUUCUAAGGAAUCUACAAUAGAACUAUUAAGUAAAUUUAGCAAGGCCACAGGCUGCAGGUCAAUAUACAAUAAUCCAUGUUAUUUCUGUAUGUUAACAAUGAACAUGUAGAAAACGAAAUUUUUAAAAUACCAUUUCAACAGCAUCCCAAAACGUAAAAUACUUAGGGAUAAGUCUAAUUAUUUUAAGCAUACUUUUUAAUAGUCUUGAAACUGAGGGCAGUCAUCAAUUAGAAUCCUUGAACUAUAACUUGCUUAAUAAAUAAUAACUUGUAACCUGCCUUCACUAAUCAAGCUUGCUUUAAUUGUUCUUGCAAAUUGCAUACCCUCCAAGCUUCACUGUAGCCUGGGCAAUAUAUCAUAAGAUUCCUUUAACCACCCCCUCCAGAUAAAACCUCUGACAUAUGGGUCGCUAUAGUAAUGGUUUCUAUUUUAUUUUUUUUAUAAUUAAAAUUUUUUAAUUUUUUAAAAUUUUGUUUCAUUUUUGGUUGCCUUGGGUCUUCGUUGCUGCGUGUGGGCUUUCUCUAGUUGCGGCGAGCGGGGGCUACUCUUGGUUGCAGGGUGCAGGCUUCUGAUUGCACUGGCUUCUCUUGUUGCGGAGCAUGGGCUCUAGGUGCGUGGGCUUCAGUAGUUGCAGCACGCGGGCUCAGUAGUUGUGGCUUAUAGGCUCUAGAGCACAGGCGCAGUAGUUGUGGCGCACGGGCUUAGUUGCUCCGUGGCAUGUGGCAUCUUCCCAGACCAGGAAUCGAACCUGUGUCUCCUGCAUUGGCAAGCAGAUUCUUAACCACUGCGCCACCAGGGAAGUCCCAGUAAUGGUUUCUUAAGUUGUUUUUCAGGAACAUGGAGUUAGUCUUGCCCAGUUCAAACUGGUCAAGCACACUGACCAUUCAACCGGGCCUGUGCAAGUGUCGGAUGGAUAACCUAUUGUUGUCAGAGGGACAAAAACUCCAUCAUCAGAUCAUGCUAAUGCCACCAUUUUCUGAACACGUGUCUCAUGAAGAAGCAUGUAACUCACAUACACCUGAGCAGAACACUGAUUACUUCACCUUUUUCUUGUCUUCAACCCCCUUUCCGCAUGCCUCAGACCACCCUGCUUCUUUAUCCUGUAAAUAUCCCAAGCCCCUCACCUUUAGGGAGACGGAUCUGAGACUUGUUCUCCCAUCUCCUCGCUUAGCUGUCUCGUGGAUAAACCCUUUCUCUGCUGCAGACUUCCAUGUCUCAGUGUUUGGCUAGUUGCAGAGUGGGGCAAACAAACCUGGUUUUGUAAUAGUCUGGUAAUUCUGUUCAAUAUUAUCCGAAGUUAUUGUGGUCUCGUCCUGCUGCUGUGUUUAUUCUUUUUGACUCUGUGAAAGCGUACCUCAGAGACAUUUAGUUAUCUGCAUGCAAAUGAUAUACUUGCUUAUUUUAAGGAGAAUAGUCAUUAGGCUGUUGUCAACAAAAAGGGCUUUAUAGGGCUUCCCUGGUGGCACAGUGGUUGAGAGUCCACCUACCGAUUCAGGGGAUGCGGGUUCGUGCCCCGGUCCGGGAAGAUCCCACGUACCGCGGAGCGGCUGGGCCCGUGAGCCAUGGCCGCUGACCCUGCAGGUCCGGAGCCUGUGCUCCGC